UGAUAAGUGCAUGAGUAUAUGGAUCUAUGAAUGUAGUUUGCUUCUGCACCGUCGCCACCACCAGUGUUUUUGUUUGCUUGCUCCGUUGCUCCGCAUACUUUUGGCUUUUAGGCGCUUUCCCGAUAGUCCGGUAUUGUCAUUAUAAAAGCAUGGAAUCUCCGCUAGAAAAGGUUGAACUUGAAGCCGACGUUUAUAUGGCAUGCUUGCAACAUGCCUUUACCACUGAAAAUUUCGAAGUUAUGGGUCUUCUCAUAGGAAAUUUGGAACAUGGCACGGCCAACAUAUCAGCAUUGAUAAAUCUACGAAGACUAGAUAAAAAAAAGGACCGUGUUGAAAUUUCACCUGAACAACUAUUGAAAGCCGCUACUGAAGCAGAACGUUUGACCGCAGAGCUGCAGCGUCCAAUGAGAGUUUUGGGCUGGUAUCAUUCACAUCCGCAUAUUACUGUCGUUCCUUCUCACGUUGAUGUGUGUACUCAGGCAAGUUAUCAGAUGAUGGAACGAGGCUUUGUUGGACUUAUAUUUUCGGUUUUCAAUGAAGCUAAAGAUACAAAGGAACAAGAAGUCCAAUUGAUUUGUUUCCAAUCAAAAGGAAGAGAGGAUUUCGUUGAAAUACCCUUAGAAAUAAUUGGGACGACGGAAAUAUCUGACAGAUGUUUGAGGACAAUGACUGAUGUUCCAAGGAUUCUUGUUCAGGAAGAAGAGGAUACCGCCGAAUCUUGUAAAGGACAUCCGGAUAUUCUUGCUUCCAUUCACAAUGAUGCUGGUUUUUGGUGGACACAUUGAUGGUGGAAUACAAGAAUCAGUUUCUUCGUUUCGCAAAUACCCUUCUUUACACUGACAGCCAUUACCAGAGCACGUCUGCGUAUUAUUACAUUCGUGAGAACUCGUGCUUUGAUACAUAUAACGGAUACGAUCACGAAACCUCUUAUACAGGCACUAGAGACAAGAAUUGAGAUGAACAAGAUUCGGGCGGGUCUUCUUCGCAAUCGCCUUGAAGAAAUGCGUCAAAUCUAUAGCGAACAGUGUUUGUAAUUCAAAUAAAGAAGAGACAUCGGAAAUUCAA